AACGGUAACUAUGCCCACCUUGACUUUGAAGGUUGACAGCUGCCAUUUGGCCCUGGGACUCCUGAGAUCCACGGUCAGUAGAAAAACGUGUUAGCUCUGGCUCACGGAUAUGACUCCCUGUAGGCCCCUUAGGAAGAUAUUUAGGACAACAGCAGUCAGAGUUCAGCCUUCAGGUCUCUCUUAUCUGAGGUCUCCGUGUCAGCAGAUCCAUUUGGUGGGGGUCCAGGUUUAUGAAAAAUGACUCAGCAAUGUAUGUUAAGAUGGUAUCUUUGGUUUUCAUGGGGAACAAAACAAACAUCUUCUAACUGUAACAUCCUUGGCUAUUGUUUGAGCUACUAUUACCUUCUUGCUUAUCAAGUUCUUCAUUGACUUCUCAGUGCUAGCUAGGUACCUGGGAUUUGCCUUGAAGGGACUCACGAUUUUCCUUUAUUUCCCUGCUUGGGGAACCCAUAGGCCCCUAACAAGGGGUCCCUGCUCUAUCACAGGAUCUUCCGCACUCUGUCCACUGACUCACGUAUCACCCUAAAACUUAAAGUAUAAUAAUAAUGAAAUAAAAAAAAGAAUUUUGUACACAUAUAUCAGUGUAUACUCGCUCACAAAUAUACAUGUUUAUUUGCUCUGUCAGCCAAGAAAGCCAUGAUUUAACAGAAACCCCAAGCAUAAU
rnacentral:lncRNA from 1 species